UCCAAGCUCUAUGGAUAUAGCUCAAGCCCUUUGAAGUUGUAUCUUUUCUUUUCUGGGAGUGAGCAUAAUGAGCCCAAUUGAGCCUAGUCUUUGCACUUCAUGAAAACCUUUGUUGCAAGCUACUGGUGAGAGUUUGUGAUGAACCAAAUUGCUCACGUAAUGGAACUAAUUAAGUCGUUUGUUUUCAUGGUUACCUUGGAGCCUACACAAAGCAAGAACGAUUUGAAUAUUUUUCUUGGGAUCCCAAAUUUCGGCCAACUCUCCAUCAUCUUUCUUUGGCUGAGCGGCAUGUAUUUCCACGGUGCUCGUUUUUCCAAUUAUGAAGCGUGGCUAAGUGAUCCAACCCACAUUGGGCCGAGUGCUCAGGUGGUUUGGCCAAUAGUGGGCCAAGAAAUAUUGAAUGGUGAUGUGGGCGGGGGUUUCCGUUAAUAAUCCCGCAGGUACUGAAACCAUUAAAAGAACACCCAACAAUUUAUUUGGCACUGUACGAAGUAUUUGAAAUACAGGAAAGAAAUACCAUUCUGGUAAUAUUUCCAAAGGGGUUGCAAACGGAUCCGCCGGUUCACCAAUCAAAAAAGAAUCGAUUUGAUCCAGGUCAUUUCAGUUCUUAUCAAAGUUAAAACGGUUAGAUAAACUCUAUAUUUCCUCCCGUGAGACCCUCAUGGGAGGCAAGACGCUGACCACUGCAGAAAAAAAAUACCUACGCCGAGAAACGUCGAACCGAAUUGAAAUUUAACAUCGGAGAGAAGGUCUUUUUGAAAGUAUCUCCUUCCAAAAGAAUAACCAGAUUUGGACUCGAAGGUAAGCUAAAACCACGAUUCAUUGGACCCUAUGAAAUUCUGAAGGAAGUGGGUCCAGUAGCAUAUCGCUUGGCAUUACCACCCAACAUUAGGAACGUACACAACGUAUUCCACGUCUCCCAACUUCGAAGGUACGUGUUCGACCCAAAACAUGUGAUUCACCACGAAGAAAUCGCUCUAGAACCUGACCUGAGUUACGAAGAAAAGCCGGUAGAAAUACUAGAUCAAAAGGUGCAGCAGCUUCGGAAUAAGUCGAUUACUACAGUGAAGGUUUUGUGGAAACACCAUGGACAAGAAGAGGCAACAUAGGAGCUAGAAGAGAAAAUGAAGGAGAAAUAUCCCAAGCUUUUGUCUAAAUACUUCCUAAAUUUCGGGACGAAAUUUCUUUUAAGGGGGGUAGAAUGUAACAACCCGAACUUUCGUACCUUAUUAUUAUUAUUAGCCUAAAGAUAAAUAAUAAGUGAUCGUUGUAGUAUUCGAAAUCUGCCAUUUUCAUGUAUAAUAAUUGAUCUUGGAAUUAUAAAUAAUCGUUGCUUCGUUCUCGAAUGAAUAUUUCAAGUAAAAAAAAAUAACACCAAAUAAAAAUUUAUAAUGUCCGACAUAUCUCCGAAGUCCGCUAAAUUACUAUUAUACAAAUUUAUCAAAUCCUUAUCUAUUACAAUUAGGGAAAAGUUCACGCAGCCCGUUCAACGGUCGUGCUCGUACUCCAAGAAAGUCCGGUACAUCAUCAGGGAAGACUAUGGAUGUUAUUUGUUUUCCUACACCAAAGCCACGAGCUUAAACUGGGUUUUUCCUACACCAAAUUAAACAAAUAAGUAAAUAAAUAUAAUACUUAAAUAAUAAAAUAAAAUAAAAUAAAAAGAAGAAGAAAGAUGGGAUAAGAAUGUUAGCAACUUGCUGCACAACUUGAUACCCACGCCACUUUCACAGCCAUCUUUUAUACAUAUAUGUAGAUAUACAAUCUUUUUCACCACCACUCCAUGAAUCUUCCCCAAAUCUAUCAACUACCUUCCCUUUAUAAUCUGUCAUUCACAAAUCAGUUUCCUAAUUCUACCAACAAUCUGGAAAGAAAAGAAAUAGAGAGGAACCGUGAGUUCAAGACUCCGGUUUUGAUAUGUGGUUAUCUAUUCAACAAAGUUGAGGAGGAACUGACAAUUGAAAUAGAUACAGAGGGAUUCAUCAAGUUGCUUCUUUUUCACGAUCUGUCAAUUGAAGGUAUACUCCCUCCAAAUUUCGAGUUUCAAUCAUCAGUUUAUGCAUAAACAUACCAUCAUCCGAACUAAUCACAUAACUCAAGCAAUUAACACAAUUGAACACUCCCACGAUUAAAUCGAAAUGCGAAAGAACUUGGUAAAGAAAACUUAUCUUUCGGGGCUGAACGGGUUAGUUCCGGGACGUUUCGGGGCUGUUCGGAGUUGUUCGGGGCUGCGCGGUGUCGGUUCGGGGUGGACUCGGAGUCAAUCGGAGGCUGACCAGCUGGCUGGGACAGCAGCGGCCACAACAGCGGUUUUCGGCGACGGCGGCGGAUCCGCAGCGGCGGUGGCGGUGCGGCGAAUCGAGGGAGAGAGAGAGACCGACCGAGAGAGAGAGGCCGACUGGGAGAGAGAGGGACGGAGCGUGCAGACCAGCAGACUUCCGGGACGGCUGUGCAUGCACAGCGGUGGCGGCGGCGGAACGGGAGAAAGACGGUGAGGAUGGCGGCGCGACGGUGAAGAGAGAAGAGAAGAGAAGAGAAGAGAAGAAAGAGAGAUGAGGAAGGAGAAAGGGGAUAUGCUGCGGUAUGUUCAAUUAGGGAUUUGGAAGAGAAAUUGGAUAAAAUCAAAUUUGGGGAUUUGGCAGAGAGGGAGAAACCGACGGGUUUGGUGAUAAGGAGUAUAGGCUUUAUGCCUUCUUAAUUAAUUGGAAUUGGGCCAUUAAAAUAGUGAAUUCAUUUUAGUUUUUGGGCCAAGGAAAUUCAUCAAGAAUGGGCCUAUCCAUGGAGUAUGAGAUAUACAUUAAUUAAUUGUUGGGCCACUUGAUGGAAUUAAUAAUUGGGCUGGAAAUGUUUUAAAAGAGAGUGGAGGAAAGGUCAAUAAAAUCGUUUUGGGCCGAGAUUUAA